rnacentral:rRNA from 1 species
CCUACGGGAGGCACCAGUGGGGAAUAUUGCACAAUGGGCGCAAGCCUGAUGCAGCCAUGCCGCGUGUAUGAAGAAGGCCUUCGGGUUGUAAAGUACUUUCAGCGGGGAGGAAGGCGAUAAGGUUAAUAACCUUGUCGAUUGACGUUACCCGCAGAAGGAGCACCGGCUAACUCCGUGCCAGCAGCCGCGGUAAUACGGAGGGUGCAAGCGUUAAUCGGAGUUACUGGGCGUAAAGCGCACGCAGGCGGUCUGUCAAGUCGGAUGUGAAAUCCCCGGGCUCAACCUGGGAACUGCAUUCGAAACUGGCAGGCUAGAGUCUUGUAGAGGGGGGUAGAAUUCCAGGUGUAGCGGUGAAAUGCGUAGAGAUCUGGAGGGAUACCGGUGGCGAAGGCGGCCCCCUGGACAAAGACUGACGUUCAGGUGCGAGAGCGUGGGGAGCAAACAGGAUUAGAUACCCCGGUAGUC